rnacentral:ncRNA from 2 species
AUCGUUCAUCUUUUCCUCAAUUACUUUAGGAAGGACGGAAGUAAGGAAACAGCAAGCUCCUGAAGGAACGCGCC